rnacentral:SRP_RNA from 1 species
ACAUCCGGAAGGGAAGCUACCCUGCCGCGCACGUGGCCCUGCAGGAGGCGACUAAGCAGGCGC